CUACGGGGGGCUCCAGUCGAGAAUCUUCCACAAUGGACGAAAGUCUGAUGGAGCGACGCCGCGUGAGGGAUUAAGGCUUUCUGAGUCGUAAACCUCUGUCAGGAGAGAAGAACAGCACCUGCACCAAUACUGCGGGUGUAUGACGUUAUCUCCAGAGGAAGCUCCGGCUAACUCCGUGCCAGCAGGCCGCGGUAAUACGGGGGGAGCAAGCGUUGUCCGGAAUCAUUGGGCGUAAAGGGCGUGUAGGUGGUUUCGUAAGUCGAAUGUGAAAUCUCACGGCUUAACCGUGAAAUUGCGUUCGAAACUACGAGACUUGAGUUAGGGAGAGGUGUACGGAAUUCCUGGUGUAGCGGUGGAAUGCGUAGAUAUCAGGAAGAACACCAAUGGCGAAGGCAGUACACUGGCCUGUAACUGACACUGAGGCGCGAAAGCGUGGGGAGCAAACAGGAUUAGAUACCCUCGUAGUC
rnacentral:rRNA from 1 species